UAGGGAAUCUUCGGCAAUGGACGGAAGUCUGACCGAGCAACGCCGCGUGAGUGAAGAAGGUUUUCGGAUCGUAAAGCUCUGUUGUAAGAGAAGAACGAGUGUGAGAGUGGAAAGUUCACACUGUGACGGUAUCUUACCAGAAAGGGACGGCUAACUACGUGCCAGCAGCCGCGGUAAUACGUAGGUCCCGAGCGUUGUCCGGAUUUAUUGGGCGUAAAGCGAGCGCAGGCGGUUAGAUAAGUCUGAAGUUAAAGGCUGUGGCUUAACCAUAGUACGCUUUGGAAACUGUUUAACUUGAGUGCAAGAGGGGAGAGUGGAAUUCCAUGUGUAGCGGUGAAAUGCGUAGAUAUAUGGAGGAACACCGGUGGCGAAAGCGGCUCUCUGGCUUGUAACUGACGCUGAGGCUCGAAAGCGUGGGGAGCAAACAGGAUUAGAUACCCUGGUAGUCCACGCCGUAAACGAUGGGUGCUAGGUGUUAGACCCUUUCCGGGGUUUAGUGCCGUAGCUAACGCAUUAAGCACUCCGCCUGGGGAGUACGACCGCAAGGUUG
rnacentral:rRNA from 1 species